rnacentral:lncRNA from 1 species
CUCCAAUCCUGGAAAGGUUAGUGAUCAGAAUACCCGAAGGAAUAUUUCUGCAAUUAUCUUUAUAUGCUCAACACACAAGGUAAUGUUGCAAGUAAUUAGAAGUUCAUGUUACGAUCUGAUAAGUGCUUGUUUUAGGACACUAAGCUUGUCCUUGGGAAACCAUCAAUUUAUGUCGGCGAAGUGGUUUCCCCUCCAACGCUGACCUAUAUCAAGAUCAACUCAACAAGAUCUGCAAUAUUUAUUAUAGACAUAUGCAUCGACAACCGCCAUUU